rnacentral:rRNA from 1 species
UUUAAACGAAUUCGCCNUUAGAGUUUGAUCCUGGCUCAGGAUGAACGCUGGCGGUCUGCUUAACACAUGCAAGUCGAACGGGCUCUUCGGAGCUAGUGGCGGACGGGUGAGUAACGCGUGAGGAUCUGCCCUUAGGACGGGGACAACAGCUGGAAACGGCUGCUAAUACCCAAUGUGCCGAGAGGUGAAAGCUUUAGUGCCUGUAGAUGAGCUCGCGUCCGAUUAGCUAGUUGGUAGGGUAAAGGCUUACCAAGGCGACGAUCGGUAGCUGGUCUGAGAGGAUGAUCAGCCACACUGGGACUGAGACACGGCCCAGACUCCUACGGGAGGCAGCAGUGGGGAAUUUUCCGCAAUGGGCGAAAGCCUGACGGAGCAAUACCGCGUGCGGGACGAAGGCUUUUGGGUCGUAAACCGCUUUUGUUAGGGAAGAACACAAUGACGGUACCUAACGAAUCAGCGUCGGCUAACUCCGUGCCAGCAGCCGCGGUAAUACGGGGGAUGCAAGCGUUAUCCGGAAUUAUUGGGCGUAAAGCGUCCGCAGGUGGUUUAUCAAGUCUGCUGUCAAAUCGUAGGGCUUAACCCUGUAAAGGCAGUGGAAACUGAGAGACUAGAGUACGGUAGGGGUAGCGGGAAUUCCCAGUGUAGCGGUGAAAUGCGUAGAUAUUGGGAAGAACACCAGCGGCGAAGGCGCGCUACUGGGCCGAAACUGACACUCAUGGACGAAAGCUAGGGGAGCGAAAGGGAUUAGA